GGUCGGAAGUUCAAGUCUUCCCAGGCCCACCACACUCAUCGAGUAAGCAUUCGUCUUCUGGUUACGGGGCCAUAGCUCAGCUGGGAGAGCGCGUGCUUUGCAAGCAUGAGGUCGUCGGUUCGAUCCCGUCUGGCUCCACCAGAUGGUUUGAUUGCCGACACGUUGUGUACCUAAAUCGUCCGCGAAACAUCACUUCGCAUCCUGCUAGUCUGGAUAGACAGCAGGUUGCGUGAUUUCUGACAUCGUAAAGAGGAGAUCGAUCCGAGUUGGAUCGUGCAGAGAAUAUCUGCGCGAGACUUCAUUAUCUCCGGAUCAUUUCGGCGCUCGCGCGCUUUUCAGUGUGGCUCACAAGGCUGCGUCUGAAAGACAUGCGAGUUGUAAAUGAUCCUUUUAGCGAAGCUUGACCGCCUCGCUAUCGGAACGAUCUUACGAAGCAAGCUGGUCUUUCUAAUCAUUGUCCGGCUGCAGAUAGCGUUCAUCGAGGGCGCGUGCCUCAGAGACUUAGGUUUCCGGGUAAUUCUGCAGACAACAUUCUGCCGAGUGUGUGGACAUUGAUAAUGAGAGC
rnacentral:tRNA from 1 species